UUGAACGCUGGCGGCAUGCCUUACACAUGCAAGUCGCACGGCAGCACGGGUGCUUGCACCUGGUGGCGAGUGGCGAACGGGUGAGUAAUACAUCGGAACAUGUCCUGUAGUGGGGGAUAGCCCGGCGAAAGCCGGAUUAAUACCGCAUACGAUCCACGGAUGAAAGCGGGGGACCUUCGGGCCUCGCGCUAUAGGGUUGGCCGAUGGCUGAUUAGCUAGUUGGUGGGGUAAAGGCCUACCAAGGCGACGAUCAGUAGCUGGUCUGAGAGGACGACCAGCCACACUGGGACUGAGACACGGCCCAGACUCCUACGGGAGGCAGCAGUGGGGAAUUUUGGACAAAGGGCGAAAGCCUGAUCCAGCAAUGCCGCGUGUGUGAAGAAGGCCUUCGGGUUGUAAAGCACUUUUGUCCGGAAAGAAAUCCUUGACUCUAAUACAGUCGGGGGAUGACGGUACCGGAAGAAUAAGCACCGGCUAACUACGUG
rnacentral:rRNA from 1 species